AUGCCCCACCUUGGUGCAACUUCCCACUGGAGAAAGGACAUCGAUUUGGAUUAUCUUCCACCUUGAACAGAACCAACUCGGAUUCAGCGCUGCACACGAGUGUGAACAAUCCGAAUGCAGCCAGUCCGUUCGCCAGCCCUGGCCAAGCCGUGCUCAGUCCCACCAAGCGAAGUGCAGGUUUAAUGGAUGGGGAACUGGACAGCCUGGGAAAAGGU